rnacentral:piRNA from 1 species
UGUCCAAAGAUCUCGAAACUCCUCCGCGC